UACGAAGGGGGCUAGCGUUGCUCGGAAUCACUGGGCUUAAAGCGUGUGUAGGCGGACUUCUAAGUACCUUGUGAAAUCCCACGGCUCACCCGUGGAACUGCUGGGUAUACUGGUCGUCUUGAGCCACCUAGGGGCGAGCGGAACAAAUGGUGGAGCGGUGAAAUGCGUAGAUAUCAUUUGGAACGCCAACGGUGAAAACAGCUCGCUGGGGGUGUGCUGACGCUGAGACACGAAAGCCAGGGUAGCGAACGGG
rnacentral:rRNA from 1 species